UACAGAGGUCUCAAGCGUUGUUCGGAAUUACUGGGCGUAAAGGGCGCGUAGGCGGCCCGCUAAGUCGAACGUGAAAUCCCCAGGCUCAACCUGGGAACUGCGUCCGAUACUGGCAGGCUUGAAUCCGGGAGAGGGAUGUGGAAUUCCAGGUGUAGCGGUGAAAUGCGUAGAUAUUGGAAGGAACACCAGUGGCGAAGGCGACUAUCUGGACAGAUACUGACACUGAGACACGAAAGCAUGGGGAGCAAACAGG
rnacentral:rRNA from 1 species